CCUACGGGAGGCAGCAGUGGGGAAUUUUGGACAAUGGGCGCAAGCCUGAUCCAGCAAUGCCGCGUGCAGGAUGAAGGCCUUCGGGUUGUAAACUGCUUUUGUACGGAACGAAAAAGUUCUUUCUAAUAAAGAGAGCUCAUGACGGUACCGUAAGAAUAAGCACCGGCUAACUACGUGCCAGCAGCCGCGGUAAUACGUAGGGUGCGAGCGUUAAUCGGAAUUACUGGGCGUAAAGCGUGCGCAGGCGGUUAUAUAAGACAGAUGUGAAAUCCCCGGGCUCAACCUGGGACCUGCAUUUGUGACUGUAUAGCUAGAGUACGGUAGAGGGGGAUGGAAUUCCGCGUGUAGCAGUGAAAUGCGUAGAUAUGCGGAGGAACACCGAUGGCGAAGGCAAUCCCCUGGACCUGUACUGACGCUCAUGCACGAAAGCGUGGGGAGCAAACAGGAUUAGAUACCCUGGUAGUCCACGCCCUAAACGAUGUCAACUGGUUGUUGGGUCUUCACUGACUCAGUAACGAAGCUAACGCGUGAAGUUGACCGCCUGGGGAGUACGGCCGCAAGGUUGAAACUCAAAGAGUAGUCGACGNGAGACGUAGACGACGACGACGACGAGGGAGGAGG
rnacentral:rRNA from 1 species